GCAUGAUUCUUAGCAAAUUCACUCUUGUUUUUUUUUGUAGGGGCUUUAAGUCACUUAUCCAUUUUGUGAGGAUUAAUAUACUUAAACCCAGGGGGCAUCACCAGUGAAUUCUCUUGAGCAGGCACUUGUUAACAACGAAAGGUUGCAAUUUGCUGAAAAUAAAAAUGAGUGAAAACAAGUGAGGCACUCCUGUCCCUACUGGGGAGCCCCAUCGCAUCUUACAUCUUGCAUGAGGGAGGAAGCAUUAAUCUGGACUUGAACUAUUACUGUUUACUAUUCAUGAGAUACAAAGUGGAAAUCCUCACAUUUCCUUCCCACUCACUGAGGAAUAUCUCUGCAAACACCCUGAGCUUGGUACAUCCACUCUAAGAACCACUGAACCAGAGAAUAUUUAUAAUUCCAGUAAAAGAUUAUAAACAGAGAGACUGUUGGGAGCAAGGUGUUAGGUCUGAACUUGGCAAACUACAGUCUUUACUUACAAGAUGCUCUCACUAGUUUGCUGAUGGCCUGAAGUGAGCCUUGUUGUAGUUUAACGAUGUAUGCCUGAAAACUGCUCAUUAUAAAAAUUGCACUUGCUGUCUUACGUUGUGGAGUGUGUUUGUAAUAGGAAAUUCAAUUUGCUUAUGUAAGCUCUAAAUGAGCCCACUGACCCUGAGAUCCCUGACCACUAUACAGAGUGUGUGGAUUCUCUGACUACUGAGAAAAGCCCAGGCUUCUACUUCAAGUUUGCAUUUUGCAAAUUGUGUCCUGGCAGACUCAGAUCCAAACAAAAGAACAUAUGGCUUCAGCAAACACAACAACAUCGACAAUGAAAAAGAAUUACAAUGGAAUGAGACUGAGAUUGACAAAAUAAUGACACCUCUAUCCCCAAACAUCUGCAUCUUAAUUCCCAGGACCCUUGAAUAUAUUACUUUACAUGACAAAGGUAAUUCAUGUUGAGAUGAAAUUAAGGUUGUUAAUCAGUUGACCUUAAACUGGGGAGAUUAACUGGAUUAUCUGGGCGGACCCAAUGAAAUUGCAGGGAUUCUUUAAAUGGGGAAAAGGGAAAUAGAAGAAUGAAA
rnacentral:lncRNA from 1 species